CCUACGGGAGGCAGCAGUAGGGAAUUUUCCACAAUGAGCGAAAGCUUGACGGAGCGACACAGCGUGCACGAUGAAGGUCUUCGGUCUGUAAAGUUCUGUUAUAAGGGAAGAACAUCUGCAAUAGGAAAUGAUUUCAGACUGACGGUACCUUGUCAGAAAGCGACGGCUAACUAUGUGCCAGCAGCCGCGGUAAUACAUAGGUCGCAAGCGUUAUCCGGAAUUAUUGGGCGUAAAGCGUUCGUAGGCUGCUUGUAAGGUCUGUGGUUAAAUACCGAGGCUCAACCCCAGCACGCUUUAGAUACUAGGAAGCUAGAGUGAGGGAGAGGUAAGCGGAAUUCCAUGUGAAGCGGUGAAAUGCGUAGAUAUAUGGAAGAACACCAGAGGCGAAGGCGGCUUACUGGGUUGAAACUGACGCUGAGGGACGAAAGCGUGGGGAGCAAACAGGAUUAGAUACCCGAGUAGUC
rnacentral:rRNA from 1 species